CAAUAGCGUAUAUUAACGUUGUUGCAGUUAAAAAGCUCGUAGUUGGAUUUCUGGAGGGAGCGUCGGCCCGUAUUUACGAGUGCGUGACGUCUCUGUCCAUCCUUGCGGGAAGGCACGGCAUUGAUUUGUUGUGUCGGAUCGCAUCAUUUACUGUGAAAAAAUUAGAGUGUUCAAAGCAGGCUUUCGCUUGAAUACAUUAGCAUGGAAUAAUAAGAUAGGACUUUGGUGCUAUUUUGUUGGUUGAGCCUAAAGUAAUGAUUAAUAGGGAUAGUUGGGGGCUCCUGUAUUGCGUUGUCAGAGGUGAAAUUCUUGGAUUUACGCAAGACAAACAGCUGCGAAAGCGUCUGCCAAGGAUGUUUUCAUUAA
rnacentral:rRNA from 1 species